UACAUUCAUGCACUGAUUACUAUUCUAUUAAAUUGAGAAGCACUACUUCAUGUAUGCGGACACACAUCUUGUGCUGGAUAUGCUUUGUCUAUAGCUUGGUAAACUUGUUUAUUAUUUUGGGGACAAAUUUCUGCUUCUGAUGUCAAAUAUGCACUUUAAUCUAUUAUUGGGUAUGCCAAAUAUUAUCAAGGUGUGUUUCAGUAUUAGUUUAUAGACAUGGACAAAUUAUACUCUUCUAACAAACAGUAUGUCUGACUGCUGAUUCGCUUGGAGCAGCAAAUUCAUAUAUUGCCGGCAUAGUUGAUUGAGGAUGCAAUUAUUCUAAUGCUUUGAUUUUCUAAGAAGUGAAUGCAAAUGCUGAUUAGUACUAUUGCUAUAGUCAGUGGCGGAGAUUUGAAUAAAAUGUUGGGCAGGCUAGACUACAUAGAGCAUCUCGUUUUUUAGAUUCUGAAUUAUAGACGGUAGUACUGUUGUUGUUUGCAUGUGCAGUUACCGCUGCUGUCUAGUGUCAGUGCCUUGCGUGCUGGCAUUGUGCAAGAGCAGACAGAGCCUUCAGGCUUUGGAUCGGGCUUGCGGUGGAGUGCCUGCCUGCAUAUCCCAGUAGGUUGUCCAAUGAAGCGAAACAUAGGUACAAAGAAGUGUUGAAAUCAUGGGCGUUGGGCCCUUAACAAAGCUCCUAACUUGGAUAUAGUGUUGGUGCACAACACCAGGCUUUUACGUUACAUUUUUAUGAUACUGUUGCAAAUGAAAUGGUUUUGAUAACAAGAGUGCUUCCUAGUUGUACUUUUACCAACAAAUGAUCUCUAGAUCCAGAAGGUCGUCCAACCGACUAACACCAAGUUCACACCCUCCUAUGUAUCUACUACUUGUGCUACUUUUUAUUGGCCGGUGUUAGGUGCUGUGAAGUAGCUCAAUUAUGCCAACGUUAGAUGCUUAGCCUAUAGUUAUAAGGAUUACGUGUUUCUGUUGCUUUUGCUACAUUUUUUGUGCCCUGAAUGAAUGUUCCUGCCGCUUUCUAGCAUGUGGUCUCGGUUUGUGUUUUUCUUGGAAAGUCUUUCUCUCUUGAGAAUCAUAUUUUGGACGGGGUGAUUGUUCUGUCAAAUGUGAACUAUUUAUUAGGGUUGAUAUUUGUGCUACUAAUGCAUACUACCUUCUCCACCCAUCUAGCGGUGUACGGGAGACAUCCUUGACGCGGUCGUUGCCAAAGACCGGUGUUUAUAGUCAAGGUUCUGAUUCAAAAGAUAUAGGGACGACUAAACGGGUGUGUGACAACUAUACAACAGAGAUGUUGAUGUUCUGGUUCACGAUGAUGAGGAUGAUGUCUGUUUUCAGUUUUAGUUAUGAUGGUUGUUUUCAGUUUUAGUUAAGUUGUAGGCAUGAUGUGCCUGUUUGAUAGUGUUACUCGGUUAAGUUUUAGUUAAAUUGUAGAGAUGUUGAUGGAUGUUUUCGAUUUCAAUUUUUCUGUCAAGAAAAUAUUUAGAUUAUGCAUCACAUUUGGGUGAUAUUACUCAUGUAAUAUCAACUCAUGUAAUAUCAACUAUUGUAAUCCAACAAUUUUUUUAAUAUAUGAUUUCUUCCUCUUGUGAGUAUAUAUUUUUCUUCGUAUA